rnacentral:rRNA from 1 species
AUUGAACGCUGGCGGCAUGCUUUACACAUGCAAGUCGAGCGGCAGCGCGGGGCAACCUGGCGGCGAGCGGCGAACGGGUGAGGAAUACAUCGGAACGUGCCCGAGAGUGGGGGAUAACGCCGCGAAAGCGGCGCUAAUACCGCAUAUUCUCUGAGGAGGAAAGCGGGGGAUCGCAAGACCUCGCGCUCACGGAGCGGCCGAUGUCGGAUUAGCUAGUUGGUGGGGUAAAGGCCCACCAAGGCGACGAUCCGUAGCUGGUCUGAGAGGAUGAUCAGACACACUGGGACGGAGACACGGCCCAGACUCCUACGGGAGGCAGCAGUGGGGAAUUUUGGACAAUGGGGGCAACCCUGAGCCAGCCAUGCCGCGUGCGGGAAGAAGGCCUUCGGGUUGUAAACCGCUUUUAGCCGGGAAGAAAAGGGCAGGGAUAACACCCUUGUCACUUGACGGUACCGGCGGAAUAAGCACCGGCUAACUACGUGCCAGCCGCCGCAGUAA